rnacentral:rRNA from 1 species
GAUGAACGCUAGCGGCAGGCUUAACACAUGCAAGUCGAGGGGUAUGCUUCUUCGGAAGCAGAGACCGGCGCACGGGUGCGUAACGCGUAUGCAAUCUACCUUUUACAGAGGGAUAGCCCAGAGAAAUUUGGAUUAAUACCUCAUAGUAUUAUAGAAUGGCAUCAUUUAUAAUUAAAGUCACAACGGUAAAAGAUGAGCAUGCGUCCCAUUAGCUAGUUGGAAGGUAACGGCUUACCAAGGCUACGAUGGGUAGGGGUCCUGAGAGGGAGAUCCCCACACUGGUACUGAGACACGGACCAGACUCCUACGGGAGGCAGCAGUGAGGAAUAUUGGACAAUGGGCGCAAGCCUGAUCCAGCCAUGCCGCGUGCAGGAUGACGGUCC